rnacentral:rRNA from 1 species
CAGCAGCCGCGGUAAUACGAAGGGGGCUAGCGUUGUUCGGAUUUACUGGGCGUAAAGCGCACGUAGGCGGACUUUUAAGUCAGGGGUGAAAUCCCGGGGCUCAACCCCGGAACUGCCUUUGAUACUGGAAGUCUUGAGUAUGGUAGAGGUGAGUGGAAUUCCGAGUGUAGAGGUGAAAUUCGUAGAUAUUCGGAGGAACACCAGUGGCGAAGGCGGCUCACUGGACCAUUACUGACGCUGAGGUGCGAAAGCGUGGGGAGCAAACAGGAUUAGAUACCCCGGUAGUCCCUGUCUCUUAUAA